rnacentral:piRNA from 1 species
UAACCUACAUUCUGCCACAUGGCUGGUUAC